GAUGAACGCUCGCGAUAGGCUUAACACAUGCAAGUCGAGGGGCAGCAUGGUCUUAGCUUGCUAAGACUGAUGGCGACCGGCGCACGGGUGCGUAACGCGUAUGCAACUUGCCUCACAGAGGGGGAUAACCCGUCGAAAGACGGACUAAUACCGCGUACACUCUAUUUUGGGCAUCCAAGGUAGAGGAAAUGAAAUUCGCUGUGAGAUAGGCAUGCGUCCCAUUAGCUAGUUGGUGAGGUAACGGCUCACCAAGGCGACGAUGGGUAGGGGAACUGAGAGGUUGAACCCCCACACUGGUACUGAGACACGGACCAGACUCCUACGGGAGGCAGCAGUGAGGAAUAUUGGUCAAUGGGCGAGGGCCUGAACCAGCCAAGUCGCGUGAAGGAGGACUGUCUUAUGGAUUGUAAACUUCUUUUGUAGGGGAAUAAAGAGGGGCACGUGUGCCCCAGUGAAUGUACCCUACGAAUAAGCAUCGGCUAACUCCGUG
rnacentral:rRNA from 1 species